rnacentral:rRNA from 1 species
AAGUCGGGACCUAAGCUGAGGCCGAAGAGGCGUAGGCGAUGGACAGCAGGUUGAUAUUCCUGCACUUGUAUAUAUCAGAACUGUGGGGACGCAGGCAAAAGGGAUGAGCCGGGGAAGGAAGAACCGGUCCCGCAAGGGGGAACGAAUUUUAGUAGUGAAGCAUCAGAUAUGACUGCCAAGAAAAGCCACUAUAGCGUAUAUACAACCCGUACCGUAAACCGACACAGGUGGAUGAGGAGAGAAUCCUAAGGCCGACGGGAGAAGCAUUGUUAAGGAACUCGGCAAAAUGUCCCCGUAACUUCGGGAUAAGGGGAGCCUGAGCAAUCAGGCCGCAGAGAAGAGGCUCAAGCAACUGUUUAGCAAAAACACAGGUCUAUGCGAAACCGAAAGGUGAGGUAUAUGGGCUGACGCCUGCCCGGUGCUGGAAGGUUAAGAGGAGAGGUUAGAGCAAUCGAAGCUUUGAAUUUAAGCCCCAGUAAACGGCGGCCGUAACUAUAACGGUCCUAAGGUAGCGAAAUUCCUUGUCGGGUAAGUUCCGACCCGCACGAAAGGCGUAAUGAUUUGAGCACUGUCUCGGCAAUGCACCCGGUGAAAUUGAAGUACCAGUGAAGAUGCUGGUUACCCGCGCCAGGACGGAAAGACCCCAUGGAGCUUUACUCCAGGUUGAUACUGGGGUCCGGUAUUAUAUGUACAGGAUAGGUGGGAGACUAUGAGUAUGUGGCGUCAGCUGCAUAUGAGUCGCUGUUGGGAUACCACCCUUAUGAUGCUGGGCUUCUAACCAAGGACCAUUACCUGGUCCGGGGACAAUGUCUGCCGGGGAGUUUGACUGGGGCGGUCGCCUCCGAAAGAGUAUCGGAGGCGCUCAAAGGUUCCUUCAGAAUGGACGGAAACCAUUCGUAGAGUGCAAAGGCAGAAGGGAGCCUGACUGUGACACCGACGGGUGGAACAGAUACGAAAGUAGGACUUAGUGAUCCGGUGGUAUGAAAGUGGGAUUGCCAUCGCUCAACGGAUAAAAGCUACCCUGGGGAUAACAGGCUUAUCACUCCCAAGAGUUCACAUCGACGGAGUGGUUUGGCACCUCGAUGUCGGCUCAUCGCAUCCUGGGGCUGUAGCAGGUCCCAAGGGUUGGGCUGUUCGCCCAUUAAAGCGGUACGCGAGCUGGGUUCAGAACGUCGUGAGACAGUUCGGUCCCUAUCCGGCGCGGGCGUAGGAUAUCUGAGAGGAGCUGUCCUUAGUACGAGAGGACCGGGAUGGACGGACCGCUGGUGUAUCAGCUGCAUCGCCAGAUGCAUAAGGCUGGGUAGCCACGUCCGGACGGGAUAAACGCUGAAGGCAUCUAAGCGUGAAGCCCCCCUCAAGAUGAGAUAUCCCUGCUU